AACGAACGCUGGCGGCAUGCCUAACACAUGCAAGUCGAACGAGACCUUCGGGUCUAGUGGCGCACGGGUGCGUAACGCGUGGGAACCUGCCCUUAGGUUCGGAAUAACUCCCCGAAAGGGGUGCUAAUACCGGAUAAUGUCUUCGGACCAAAGAUUUAUCGCCUUUGGAUGGGCCCGCGUUGGAUUAGCUAGUUGGUAGGGUAAAAGCCUACCAAGGCGACGAUCCAUAGCUGGUCUGAGAGGAUGAUCAGCCACACUGGGACUGAGACACGGCCCAGACUCCUACGGGAGGCAGCAGUGGGGAAUAUUGGACAAUGGGCGAAAGCCUGAUCCAGCAAGGCCGCGUGAGUGAUGAAGGCCUUAGGGUUGUAAAGCUCUUUUACCCGGGAUGAUAAUGACAGGACCGGGAGAAUAAGCUCCGGCUAACUCCGU
rnacentral:rRNA from 1 species